GGUAUUGCAGAUAUAGUUUUAAUUAAAACAUUAGAUUGUGGUUCUAAAAAUAGAGGUUAAAGCCCACUUAUCCGCCGA
rnacentral:tRNA from 1 species